rnacentral:lncRNA from 1 species
AUGCACACAAAGGAGGGAAGCAGCAAAGGAAUGCAUACAAAGGAGGGAAGCAGCAGAGGAAUGCUCUGCCACCGUCCGUGACCCCAAUGCUCUGCCACCGUCCGUGAUCCCAAUGCUCUGCCACCGUCCGUGAUUUCAAUGCUCCACCGUGAUUUCAAUGCUCUGCCGCGAUUUCAAUGCUCCACCCUGAUUUCAAUGCUCUGCCGCGAUUUCAAAGCUCUGCCAUGACUUCAAUGCUCUGCUCUACUCUACGGGCAUUUCUCUGUUCUGAAAGGGAAUUUCUCUGCUCUGACCGGGCUGCUCUGACGGGUAUUUCUCUGCUCUGACCGGGCUGCUCUGACGGGCAUUUCUCUGCUCUGACCGGGCUGGGUAUUUCUCUGCUCUGACCGGGCUGUUCUGACGGGCAUUUCUCUGAUCUGAUAGGCAUUUCUCUGCUCUGACCGGGC